CGCAGUAGAGCUUUAAGAAACAAGUUCAUUGCGCAUACUCCAAUUCGUUUCUGCAAAAUAUACCAAAAUGAACACCGAUGUGAAUAGAAAAGUAAUGGCUAUUCAGGCUAAAAAGAAACGUUCCAAAGGACCAAAGUCGAAAUUCAAAGGACGUACAGG